AGUUUGAUCCUGGCUCAGGAUGAACGCUAGCUACAGGCUUAACACAUGCAAGUCGAGGGGCAUCAGGAAGAAAGCUUGCUUUCUUUGCCGGCGACCGGCGCACGGGUGAGUAACACGUAUCCAACCUGCCCUUUACUCGGGGAUAGCCUUUCGAAAGAAAGAUUAAUACCCGAUAGCAUAAUGAUUCCGCAUGGUUUCAUUAUUAAAGGAUUCCGGUAAAGGAUGGGGAUGCGUUCCAUUAGGUUGUUGGUGAGGUAACGGCUCACCAAGCCUUCGAUGGAUAGGGGUUCUGAGAGGAAGGUCCCCCACAUUGGAACUGAGACACGGUCCAAACUCCUACGGGAGGCAGCAGUGAGGAAUAUUGGUCAAUGGGCGCUAGCCUGAACCACCCAAAGUGGCGUGAAAGGAAGAAGGCUCUUUAGGGGUCGAAAAAUUUUUUUUUAAAAAAAGAAUAAAGGCGCGGUAUGUAAACCGUUUUGGAAAGUAUUAAUAGGAAUAAGGAUCGGGUAAACUCCGGUCCCAGCAGCCGCGGUAAUACGGAGGAUCCGAGCGUUAUCCGGAUUUAUUGGGUUUAAAGGGAGCGUAGGUGGACUGGUAAGUCAGUUGUGAAAGUUUGCGGCUCAACCGUAAAAUUGCAGUUGAUACUGUCAGUCUUGAGUACAGUAGAGGUGGGCGGAAUUCGUGGUGUAGCGGUGAAAUGCUUAGAUAUCACGAAGAACUCCGAUUGCGAAGGCAGCUCACUGGACUGCAACUGACACUGAUGCUCGAAAGUGUGGGUAUCAAACAGGAUUAGAUACCCUGGUAGUCCACACAGUAAACGAUGAAUACUCGCUGUUUGCGAUAUACAGUAAGCGGCCAAGCGAAAGCAUUAAGUAUUCCACCUGGGGAGUACGCCGGCAACGGUGAAACUCAAAGGAAUUGACGGGGGCCCGCACAAGCGGAGGAACAUGUGGUUUAAUUCGAUGAUACGCGAGGAACCUUACCCGGGCUUAAAUUGCAGUGGAAUGAUGUGGAAACAUGUCAGUGAGCAAUCACCGCUGUGAAGGUGCUGCAUGGUUGUCGUCAGCUCGUGCCGUGAGGUGUCGGCUUAAGUGCCAUAACGAGCGCAACCCUUAUCUUCAGUUACUAACAGGUCAUGCUGAGGACUCUGGAGAGACUGCCGUCGUAAGAUGUGAGGAAGGUGGGGAUGACGUCAAAUCAGCACGGCCCUUACGUCCGGGGCUACACACGUGUUACAAUGGGGGGUACAGAAGGCAGCUAGCGGGUGACCGUAUGCUAAUCCCAAAAUCCUCUCUCAGUUCGGAUCGAAGUCUGCAACCCGACUUCGUGAAGCUGGAUUCGCUAGUAAUCGCGCAUCAGCCACGGCGCGGUGAAUACGUUCCCGGGCCUUGUACACACCGCCCGUC
rnacentral:rRNA from 1 species